rnacentral:rRNA from 2 species
UAGGGAAUCUUCCGCAAUGGACGAAAGUCUGACGGAGCAACGCCGCGUGAGUGAGGAAGGCCUUCGGGUCGUAAAGCUCUGUUGUGAGGGAAGAACAAGUACCGGGGUAACUACCGGUACCUUGACGGUACCUCACCAGAAAGCCACGGCUAACUACGUGCCAGCAGCCGCGGUAAUACGUAGGUGGCAAGCGUUGUCCGGAAUUAUUGGGCGUAAAGCGCGCGCAGGCGGCUUCUUAAGUCUGAUGUGAAAUCUCGGGGCUCAACCCCGAGCGGCCAUUGGAAACUGGGAAGCUUGAGUGCAGAAGAGGAGAGUGGAAUUCCACGUGUAGCGGUGAAAUGCGUAGAUAUGUGGAGGAACACCAGUGGCGAAGGCGACUCUCUGGUCUGUAACUGACGCUGAGGCGCGAAAGCGUGGGGAGCAAACAGG